rnacentral:ncRNA from 1 species
AUAAAGGCUGAGAAUGGGAGUAGUACUGGAGAACUUUCUUUUAGAGAGGCGGCGGAGGGUGCAAGCCGUUGUUGAGGACUUCAGGAACUCACCCGGGAGCUGUGUUCAGGUUACAAUGAACACCGGUGUGAGCCGUUAAAAUCAUUUGAGAAUCAAUUUGGGUGGUACCACGGGAGUGAGGUCUCUCGUCCCUUUC